rnacentral:lncRNA from 1 species
AUCAAACCAUUUCAAAAUCAUACCAAAGAAAACAAUUUAUUAAAUGUGUACCAAAUCAGAGAAUCAGAGCAUGUAUCAAAUGUAUCAAAUCAGCAUGUGUAUUAUUACAUUAUUAAGUAUCAGAGCAAAAACAAACAUCAUCAGAACAUCAGAUUCUCCCCCUUAAUAAUGCAACAACAAGCAUAUUAUCAAGUUAUCAAGUUAUAAUUUUUCUCCCCCUUUGUCAAUUAAGGCAAAAAGGCAGAAAACAAUUCCUCCCCCUAUGUUAAAGAACAUAAGCAUAGGAAAUGAAAUCAUAUAACUUGUAUAUCAGAUCAGAACAAAACAAAUAUGCAACAGAUGUAGUAUGGCAGUAUUU